UAGGGAAUCUUCGGCAAUGGGGGGAACCCUGACCGAGCAACGCCGCGUGAGUGAAGAAGGUUUUCGGAUCGUAAAGCUCUGUUGUUAAGGAAGAACGAGUGUGAGAAUGGAAAGUUCAUACUGUGACGGUACUUAACCAGAAAGGGACGGCUAACUACGUGCCAGCAGCCGCGGUAAUACGUAGGUCCCGAGCGUUGUCCGGAUUUAUUGGGCGUAAAGCGAGCGCAGGCGGUUAGAUAAGUCUGAAGUUAAAGGCAGUGGCUCAACCAUUGUAGGCUUUGGAAACUGUUUAACUUGAGUGCAGAAGGGGAAAGUGGAAUUCCAUGUGUGGCGGUGAAAUGCGUGGUUAUAUGGAGGAAAACCGGUGGCGAGAGCGGCUCUCUGGUCUGUAACUGACGCUGAGGCUCGAAAGCGUGGGGGGCGAACAGG
rnacentral:rRNA from 1 species